CUAAACACGUAAUCCCUCACUCCCACUGCAUACUCACGCUCUCCUAACCCUUAAUCCUCUUUCUACCUCUGGUCCACCACGAAGCUGCUUCUGGCUUUCCUCCACCGGGAAACCACUUCUCUACAAACCGCGUUUCGUUCACGCAAGAUGUGUUCUGCGAUUUGUUGGAUUUCAAGGUACAAAAGGUGACUACCACUUCUGCAAUACACGUUUCAAGGUGAUUUUUGUUGGAUGAAUUGGCGUUUCCGUUUCCGUGCUGUGUUUUUUACUGGAUCCACGAACUGAUUUUUUACAGGAUGAAAUUCAUUUCUCGGUUCAGUUAGAGGUUCAAAACGUCAACUGAUUUUCUACGGUGUUUUAAUCAUCUGCAACUUGCUUAUGGUUCUGAAAUUUUGCAAGAGUGCAACGCUAUUCCCAGCUAAGUUCUGAAAUCACGUCUACUGAUUUUACUGCUUUGAGAACGAAAUCAGUAUUAAAGUUUUAUAGCAGUUCAGGGAGAUGAUCAAGGAUUACUUCUGUUCCAAUUCCUGUAAGUUGCUUCUUACUCAUCAUCUUAACUCUAGGUAAUUUAUUGUUUGUUACGGUAUUUUAGGAAUUCCUUUUUAACUUUAGUCUGAAUUAAAUAUAGAUUUUUAAACCAUAUAUCAAUCUAGGUUUAAAAAACAGUGAGAAGUGGACUAAUUAGUAUUUCUUUAGUACUUGAAGUGCAGAGUAUAGUAAACACGAUGCAAGAAAAAAGAAAACAGAGAAGAAAAGAAGGACGAGGGAGAUAAAAAGAGAACGAAGAGGUGUGUUUUACGUUUUGAUGUAUCUGAUAACUCUUUUUGCAGCUUUCAUAUGUGUUUCGUUUGGACAGUGCAUGAACCUUGAAAGAAUACUCACAACAUUUAGGAUGUCAGGUCUGGUUGUUGUUAAGUACAUCAGACAACCUAUCAAACUUCUAAACUUAGAUUCAUUAACCUUGUCAGAACCAUCAUCUUUGAUUAGCUUCUCCUUUUGAUUCAUGGGAGUGUUCACAGUUUUGCAAUCUUCCAUCAGAAAUUUCUUGAGUAUUUCCUUUGCAUGUUUUCUUUGACUUAAGAAAACUUCAUCCUGAUUCUGUUUGAUCUCAAUGCCAAGAAAGUAUGACAUAAGACCAAGAUCUGUCAUUUCAAAGACCUUUUUCAUUUCCAGUUUGAACUGGUUGAUUUCUUCAACAUUGCUUCCUGUAACUAACAUGACAUCCACAUAAAGAGAAAUUACCAAAAUAUUUGUACCUUGAUGUUUGACAUACAAUGUGAGUUCAGAUUGGCUUUUAUGAAAGCCAAGGUGCACCAGAUGAUCAUCAACCUUGUUGUACCAGGCUCGUGGAGCUAGCUUUAAUCCAUAUAAAUCCUUUUUCAAAAAGUAGACUUUAUUUUCAUUGCCCUCAUUCACAAAGCCUUCAGGUUGUUCAACAAAAAUUUCUUCUUGCAAAUCUCCAUUUAAGAAUGCAGAUUUAACAUCCAAAUGGUAUACUUUCCAGCUCCUUUGAGCAGCAAGAGCAAGCAAUAAUAUUACAGUGUCAAGCCUGGCAACAGGUGCAAAUGUCUUUGAAUAAUCAACACCAAAAACUUGUGCAUAUCCUUUCACAACAAGUCUUGCUUUGAAUUUGUUGAUAGAACCAUCAGGACUUAGCUUGGUUCUGAAAACCCAUCUUACUCCAAUUAUUUUUCUGUUUAGUCGACCAACCAACUCCCAGGUUUUAUUUUUCUCAAUCAUAGAAAGCUCCUCCUACAUUGCAGCCAUCCAGUGUUGACUGUUUUUUGCAUCGUGAAAUCCUGCAGGCUCACAAACAGCUACAUUGCACCUUUGACAGAUGUCAGACAAUAGUCUUGUUCCUCUGACAGGUGCAUCAUCAACUGUAGCAUCAUCUUCAGAUUCUUCAGUCAUGCUCCCAAGGGUUGAACUGUUUGGAGCAUUUGGACUUUGAUUCACCUUAGUUGAACUUUCCCAAUCCCAUUGUUCAUUUUCAACAAAAUGAACAUCUCUGCUUACAAUCACACGACCAAUUUGUGGCUGAAAAAUUUUGUAAGCUUUGGAUACAGUGCUAUAUCCAACAAAGAUGCUUGCUUAUGCUUUUUUAUCAAGCUUAUCACGCUUGACCUGUGGAAUAUAAGUGAAGCAAAGACAACCAAAUAUUUUGAGAAAUUUUAAAGAAGGUUUGUAGCCAUACCAAGCUUCAUAUGGUGUCAGAUCUUUCAAGGCUUUUGUAGAAAUUCGAUUUUGUAGGAAUACAACAGUGUUUGUUGCCUCCCCCCAUAACCCUUUUGGAAGAUUCUUUUCAUGGAGCAUACACCUUGUCAUCUCCAUAAUGAAUCUGUUCUUCCUUUCACUGACACCAUUCUGUCGAGGAGUAUAUGGUGUUGUUAAUUGAUGUUGAAUUCCAGCUUCUUCACAAAAUUUGUUGAAAGCAUCAGAGGUGUAUUCCUUGCCAUUGUCAGACCUUAUAAUCUGAAUUGAGCAUCCACUUUCAUUUUCAACUCUGGUUUUGAAUUUCCAGAAUAUACUGGGAACCUCUAACUUUUGUUUCAACAUGAAAAUCCAACACAUUCUUGUUAGAUCAUCAAUAAAAAUUAUGUAGUAGAGGUUACCAUUUAAUGAAGGUGUUCUCUGAGGACCACACAAAUCAGUGUGCACCAGUUGCAGCUUUUUCGAGGCUCUCCAAGCUUGUUUAGGGAAAGGUUGUCUGUGUUGCUUCCCAAAAUUGCAGGCAUGACAAGGAGGAAUAUUAUCAUCAAUGUCUGCGAGUCCUUCAACUAGCUUCUUUGAUUGCAUCUGAAACAAUCCUUGAUGAUGAAAGUGCCCAAGUCUUUUGUGCCAAAUCUCAGUGGCACUAGCUCUGGACUUGAAGGCCAUUUGUUCUUUCUCCAUUGGAUUUAAAGCAAAGCUUUUUCCUUUCAUUUUGACAUUGAACAAGUCUUUGCCACUAGCAUCUCUAAUCAAGCACUGUUUAUUCUCAAACAACACUUUAUAGCCUUUAUCGAGUAGGUGGCCAACACUUAAGAGAUUUUGAUCAAUUUUAGGUACAAAUAAAACAUCUGAAACAAAUUUUGUACCUUCAUAGCUUGCUAUAGCUACUGUGCCUUUUUCCCUUGACUUCCAAGAGUUCACCAUUUCCAAUUCUCACUCUCUUAACUUCAGUGUUUUUUAAUUCUUCGAAAAGCUCCUUGUCAUAUGUCAUAUGAUUUGUGCACCCACUGUCAAUCAACCAGCUCUCACUUGAUUCUCUACUUGAGAAACAAGUGACCACGAACAAUUGAUCUUCUUCUUGACCAACAACUUGUGCAUCUACUUCUUGCACCUGACCUUUGACUUUGCAGAUCACAGCUUCAUGUCCAAGUUGAUUGCAUUUGGAGCAUUUUGCAUCGGGUCUUCUCCAACACUUGUAUGGUGGAUGACCUUUCUUCUCACAGUGGCGGCAAGGUGGGUAGGAUUUUUUGGAACCUUCUUCCUUUUUUAAGUUUUUCUUCUUUUUGUACCUGUUGUUGUCUUGAUGCUUGACAGGUAAAGCUCCUUCAAUCACCCCUUCUUGCCUCAUAGACCUUCUUUGCUCUUGUGCUUGUAAAGCAUUCAAGAGCUCUGUAAGAGAGAUUUUUGACAGGUCUUAGGUGUUCUCCAGAGUAGUAAUGGUGGCUUCAAACUUCCCGGGAACAGUGACCUGCAGCUUUUCAACAAUCCUAGAGUCAAUACACACAGAACCAAGUAAUCUCACCUUAUUGGCAAUGCUGAGAAGUCUGUCAGAGUACUCCUUCAUUGACUCAAACUCCUUCCUCUUCUGCAACUCGAAAUCCUGAAUCAAAUUCAGGACUUUCAUUCCACGAAUCCUCUCAUCUCCUGCAAAUUCACCCUUGAGGUAAUCCCAAAUUUCCUUUGUUGUUUUGAGGGACAUUAUUCGUGUGAAGAUCAUUUGAGAUAUAACUGCAAAUAGGCAAGCUUUUUCCUUUGAUUUUAUGGUUUUUUUCUCCUUCUAUGCUUUGAUUUGUGCAACAGUAGGAUUUGCUGGAAGUGGAGGGACUUCGUAAUCUUCUUCUACUGCUUCCCAAAGAUCCAAAGCCUUCAGAUAAGUCUCCAUACGAAUUGCCCACAUUUGAUAAUUGUCUCCAUCAAAGACUGGUGGUGCAACAGCUGAAAAACUUGAUUCUCCUUCCAUUUUGACCUCACAGAUCCCUUAAGAAGAGUGCUUUGAUACCAAUUUGUUAGUUUCAAAACAAAUAAUAUUUGAUUGAUCAAUUGAGAUGAUAUAUUAAAGUUGGAAAGUUGUGCAUUUGUACACAGAAUGAAUAAAGAUUGUUCUAAAAAACAGAAAAUAAAUAUGGUAACAAACCAAUAGUUAAAACAGAAUUAAUUAAUUUUCUAAAAAUCUGGAGACUUAUUCAAUAACAAAAAAAAGCUAACUUGUAGGAUGUUAAACACAUGAUCCUAACAAACAUUCUUAAAUAUCAACUUUUUUUUAAAAGAACUAUAGAAAAGGUUUCAUAAAACCAAUAAAAGAAGAAAGAGUUUGGUUACUGACUUACCACGUCAAAAACAGCCUUAAGUUAACU
rnacentral:lncRNA from 1 species